GAUGAACGCUGGCGGCGUGCUUAACACAUGCAAGUCGAACGAUGAAGCCCAGCUUGCUGGGUGGAUUAGUGGCGAACGGGUGAGUAACACGUGAGUAACCUGCCCUUAACUCUGGGAUAAGCCUGGGAAACUGGGUCUAAUACCGGAUAGGAGCGUCCACCGCAUGGUGGGUGUUGGAAAGAUUUAUCGGUUUUGGAUGGACUCGCGGCCUAUCAGCUUGUUGGUGAGGUAAUGGCUCACCAAGGCGACGACGGGUAGCCGGCCUGAGAGGGUGACCGGCCACACUGGGACUGAGACACGGCCCAGACUCCUACGGGAGGCAGCAGUGGGGAAUAUUGCACAAUGGGCGCAAGCCUGGUGCAGCGACGCCGCGUGAGGGAUGACGGCCUUCGGGUUGUAAACCUCUUUCAGUAGGGAAGAAGCGAAAGUGACGGUACCUGCAGAAGAAACACCGGCUAACUACGU
rnacentral:rRNA from 1 species